rnacentral:rRNA from 1 species
CCGUGUGCGGGGCCGGCGGCCGGUGUAAUGCGGAGGAUCGUCGGUUUAGCCGGAUUGUUUGGUUGUAAAUGGAGCGUAGUCGGGGGUUUAAGGCAUCUGUGAAAUGCCGUGGCCCAACCAUGGAACUGCAUUUGAAACUGGACCGCUUGAGAGUACAUAAGGAAGGCGGAAUUCGUGGUGUAGCGGUGAAAUGCAUAGAUAUCACGAAGAACUCCGAUUGCGAAGGCAGCUUUCCGGGGUACAUCUGACGCUGAAGCUCGAAAGUGCGGGAAUCAAACAGGAUUAGAUACCCUGGUAGUC